CGGUUAGUUCGUUUAUUCGAAUCAGUGACGCCGUCGGUUCGGAUGUCGGGAAUUCGGCGUGGUCCGAUUCUUAUAAACUAAUUAAUAACGCGUAAAUCACUUCAAUUUAUCGUUGUAAGUAAUUUCUAAAUUCAAAAAUAAAGUCGCGAGCACAGAAGGUGGUUGUGUGACGUCACCACUGGCCUGAACUUUCUAGAUCGUUCAGUUCUAGAUACGAUUUCAACGAGCUUGGAUGUCUCCCGAUGUCGGACGCCGGAAUAUGUAUGAAAAUCACGGGAUAAUCAUAUUAUCGCGGUGAGUUAUUGAAUAUGAACCGAUAAAAUUCAUCUAUAGAGUAAUUUUCCGUGGCUGGUAAAGUUAUUUGUAAACAUCCAACAAUAUUUCACGUGAAAACCGGUCGAAGAAAAAGUUGCAACAACUUGUUGCCCAGUGCUGUGACAGUGCAUGACGAAUGAAAAUUCUUGUUCUUAUAUUUCGUUCGAAAAAUUGGUCCAUCGAUACCGAAUCGACAUAAAUAUCUUAGUAUCUGCGUAAAUUUGAAGGAAUUCGUCAGGUUAUUUUGAUCAAAGAGUUUUUUUUUUUUACGCGGAAGGUUGUGCCAUCGCUGUAGAGGUAUAAACGGUGAAUAAACAAUCAACAAAUGACCGUCAUGUUGUCAACUUAUUGUCGGUAACUAAAUACUGUGACAGUGGUUUCAUAAAAGGAAAGAUAUGUGCAAUAUAAACGGCGUGAUGUGUCGCAGUUUACGUUCAAUCGUCGGGUGACAUUCAGAGUUGUUUACUACAGGUUCGGUAAUUCGGAAUAUUGCUCUCGCGUUGAGAGCAUUAAUGGAGUGCGCAUUUGAAGAUGGUUUAUUUUUAUUCGUGUGGUAAGAAGUGAUGUGCAUCUUCGACGUGUUCGUCGGUACUUCGGUUCAGUGAAUCGGUGAAAUUAUUUGUGGCAGCGGGACGAGAGGAUUAACGAGGAUGUCAUCAAUACUGCAGUUUGUACAUGAAGGCGUAAUUUGCACACAAAGUACCAUGGUUCAGGGGGAAAUAUACGAGGGUGCUGCCUAUGUGCUCGCACAGACAUUACGUUAACGGCUUACCAGAAAUCCCACGUGUGCAUCGAAUGGCACGAGAUGACGAAACCUGAGCCAUGAACCACAUCGAGGCCUUGUUGUUACAUCUACCUACUAUUAUUAUAAGAGGACCGGAUUAACCCGAGGGCCGAAAGUCAAGGAACCAGUGGGACCGCAGUACACUGCAAACGCGAGACGGAAGCGUAUCAGAGCUAUACUGGUGCAUGAUCAGGGUUUCUAGGCACGCCGGCGAGUGCUAACAGCAUCAUGGCCGCCCGGAAUCCCCGGCCGGCAAUCACCCCAGGGGCUAAUGCCACCAGGAACAAACAAAAUAUAAAGUACUAAGUAGCCCCGACCAACUAACCGGGACCUUAGACGGUCCGUCUUCGGCAUACCAAGAGGACCGUCUUCCACCCCACGGGCGUUUUUAAUUCGCUACUCGGACCAGCCAACCUAACCGUGGUGUCCAAGAACAGAAAUUCUCAGCUACCUGGAUAAAAGACUUUGAGGAGUCAACAGAGAUCGUCAACGAUCGAAUGAAGUAAACGGAGAAGCCGGUGAACCGUUUGGACAGGAAGUGUGGAUCAUUGGGAAUGUAGACCAAGCGUUGAAGAGUAAACAGAGAGCGUCAACGAUAGAACGAAGUAAAUGGAGAAAUUGGCGAACCGUUUGGACAGGAAGCGUGGAUCAUUGGGAUUGUAGACCAAGCGGACGCUGUUGAGGCACAAAACUAGAUACAACAAGAGACACGGGCAAACUUCUUUCGACCUGUGCAGAAACCGGCAUAGUUUAAGGAGGAAUCGAUUACGCGCAGUCCAAAUAAGCUGCGAGCACCGGAUCAAGAGUAGCAGCCGGAACUCGACGGAAGCCCUUCAUAUUUCCUCAGGAGUUGAUUCUUCGAUGUUUAAGACGUCUUAUUUUGAGUUCCACAAGGACCAAUUGGUCUAAUCGAGGUCCAAUAAAACAAUUUGGAUAUAAAAACUCAUCUAAUUUAGAAAACUCGAAAAGAAGGCACGUUAACCCCUUUAGAUUUUGUCGAUCGGAAAUUGGUCGAUUUCAAAUACUGCAGGGAUCCAUUUGUUGCGGAACUAAAUCGACAUAAUUGUGCGAGAGGAAUCGAUUGCGCGCAGUCUCAACUCAUUACGAACGUAUGGAAAGUUUGAGCUGAAACGAAUAUAAUUUGCACACGGUUUCCGAAGAGGUAUAAGAAAAAUAUAAAGUUGUGAGGUACAAAGUUUCGGUCUCACAAUCAGUUCAAGAUCAGUUUAUUCAAUAUGCCUUAGUUUUCGAACAAGUAUUCAAGUAUCAGUGUGUGGUAAUUUAAUACGUUGCCAAUGAUAUUGAAGUGGGAGACAGAAGGUAGUGUAGAAAUAUGAUUAACAUAAUAUAUCUUAUAAUGAUACUAGAUGAAAGGUGUGAAACGUAUAUUUUCUUAAGCAAUACUGCCUACAGUUGAAUUUGAACGUAGCUUAAGUUUUGGCUUGUACACAGACCAUGUGCGACUGAACGCUGCAGAAUAUGUAUGAUAUUGUAUUGUCAC
rnacentral:lncRNA from 1 species